CUGAUGAGCGUCUGGCUACUGUAAGCUUCAAGCCAUGCUUCAUUGAUAAAAUUGUCAUCAUCCUAUACUCAACUGGAUGACCGGGAACCAAAGUGAAUGUGAAAAAUCUGCACAGAAUGGCCAGUACCAUCUUCAUUUGGAGUGUCGAAGGCCUGGGCAAACUGAUUAUCUGGUAGAUCUGGAGCCAGGGUUCCAAUCUCUACACCAAAUCCCACCUUACAUAUGGAGUCCAGAGUCAUCCUCAUCAGCAAUUCCUGCACCAAGAGAACAUAUUCAAGCUCUCUCCAUUUAUAUAAAAAUCAGGAUGGACAAACUUAUGUGGGGAGUCACCUGCAUGUCUACUUGUUGCCCUUGAAAAGAUGCUUGACUCAGAAUGCCAUGGAGCUUUAGGCUGUAAUCUCUGAAGACAACAGUGCUGAAGUCCCUCAAAUUCUUGGAUGCAAAUUCGAAGCUUGCAGUCUUUCUCUGUUUCCUCCAAACUUCUCCAUCUGAAUUGAAGAUUCCAUCUCCGAGCAGGACUUGCAUGUACGAUUGGUACACUUCACCCUUAAGUUAAUCAAAUGAGUACGAGAUUAAUAGAGAUUUGGAGAAAAACAACCAAACGCGACCAAUGUUAUGCCAAGACUGAGAUACUUACCUUUGGGUAAUUCGCAAAGUUGGUCUUGAGGACAUGUUCUACAUUAGCUGGAUCUGCAAUGUAAGUGUAAGUUGUGAACGGCAUUGGGACGACAACAGAGUUUGAUUCGGACAGGUACUUGACAAGCCAAUCAUGCAUUCUGUUAUAGUUCAUGAGUUGUUCAAUUGCUGCUCCUACUAACGGCCAUGUUUUGGGACCUUUUCUGUUCCUCUGGCUCCAUCUAUAGAUAAUGAUCCAUAACAAAACCGUGCAAGCUAGCAUCAACCAUCCCUUACUGCAUCCAUCUUCUGAAGAAGAAUCCCAUAAAAGAUAUCCCAUUUCCGGCGUAAAACACAGAGAAGGUAUAAGAGUGUGUGAUGAACUGCUGCACAGAUAAUGCAAUUCCGGGAUUGAUUUAUAUUACUGUGAAGUAGUUAAAUUUUAGCAUAGCUAGCUGGUUAAUUACUGGUGAGAGUUGUAUAUUAGUGACAACUAGUUAGCGCUAUGGUUUGUUAACAAUCUUGGUAUGCUCUAAGGUCAUUAAGGAUUAAAAUAGAGCUUCACCUC